rnacentral:rRNA from 1 species
UAAGGGGGCCAUACCGAGGAUGCUCCACCUGAUCCCAUUCCGAACUCAGAAGUGAAAGUCCUCAAGGCCGAUGGUAGUGCGCAAGCGCGAGAGUAGGUAGCCCUCUUAU